AACUUUUAUUUAACAAAAACAAAAUUGGGGAGGGGACCCCAAAAUCCCUUUGGGGGGGGAAUUUUUGGGGACUCCCCCGAGGGGAUUUUGGGAUUUUUUGGGGUCCUGGUCACACCUGGGGGGGGUCUCAGGUGAGAUUUGGGGAUUUUUUUGGGGUCCCAGGUGAGAUUUGGGGUCCCAGGUGAGAUUUGGGGACCCCCCCAGGUGAAAUUUGGGCUUUUUUGGGGUCCCAGGUGAAAUUUGUGGAUUUUUUGGGGUCCCAGGUGAGAUUUGGGGACCCCCCCAGGUGAGAUUUGGGGAUUUUUUGGGGUCCCAGGUGAGAUUUUGGGGAUUUUUGGGGUCCCAGGUGAGAUUUUGGGAUUUUUUUGGGGUCCCAGGUGAGAUUUGGGGACCCCCCCAGGUGAAAUUUUGGGGAUUUUUUGGGGUCCCAGGUGAGAUUUUGGGGAUUUUUUUGGGGUCUCAGGUGAGAUUUUGGAG